rnacentral:lncRNA from 1 species
CUCACAGGAAGCGCCUGAAAAACGAAAAAAAAGGAAAAGUGUGGGGAACCGAGGUCGUCUUGGGCUGUCGCCUCUCCCUCUCCCAGAAGGAAUGAAGAGGUUCUUGGAAAGCAGGGACGGGCGAUUCUCUCUGUCAGCAUCAGCUCCCACCAGCGAGGACGGGGCGAGAAAGCGAAACGGGGCUUUCCUUGCUGUCUAUUUUUUCUUCGUCAGGCCAACGCCGCCUGCUCACAGGGGCGCAGGCGAGUUCCCGCCAAAUGGCGCGGGGGCGCAAGCAGUUGCGUGAGUUGCCGCCAAAUAGCUCUGGAUGCCAGCUCGUUCCGCGUCUCUUGGUAGACUAGUUGGUGCAUUUCUGCUAUCAUGGACUGCGCAUAUAAACGCAAACUACACAAAAGUGACAUGGACAAGAACAGCGCAAGCCCUUUCCAUGCAGUGGAGCCGCCGUAUCUCGCCGUUCAAGAUAUGCGUACUCGAAGAAAAAAAAAAGAGGCUUUACAUGAGAACGGAUCAAGCGUUCGAGAGUUGGGACAGGGAAAUGAAACACUGGAACGACACUGCUUAAAUUGAAGCACAGUGUGCGAAUGACCUGCUACGCUCGGAACUGUUAUCACCAUUCGGGAAGAAAUUGGAUGAAAAAACAUAACUGUAAAUACCUGUAUGAUAUACGUCUGGUGCAUUGCAGGUAAGAAUGGAUUGUGUGUGGCGCGCUUCACCGCAUGUGGACUAGAGUAGAUCUAGGAACAUCAGACAAGAAGACACGUAUGUGAAACCCUGCGGAUAGCCCAUAUGUGAACUUUUUUUCCAGAUACGGAGGAACGGACACCGGUCGUGCCGUGAGCACUAUUCUGCAGGGCAUACUUACAAAUGAAGCUGCACUGCAGUUCAGCUGGAAAGGGUCGCAGGGGAGGAAGCACGCCUUCGUGAAGCUCAUGGCCAUCACGAAUAUAACAUCUGUGAGGAGCACGUUCCCUGACGCUUCACUAGCAUCAAUGGCUGGAGUCGCAAAGCGCUGGUUGGUUGGAGCAGCUGACAGGGAUGGAGGCCGGAAUGAAAGAAGGCGCCGUGACCCUGCUUCAAGCCCACCAAAUAUGAACUAGUGUUUAAAACUUGUGAAUGUGUCGGUGUACAUAUACAAUUACA